CCGCACAGAUACACACACAGAGAAAAGGAAGCCGCCUGCGCAUGCGCGCUGGGACGUUUCCGCGCGAGCUGAGGGGGAGAAGGAGGGAAGGGAAAGGGCUCUGUGGGGGAGGGGUGAGAGAAUCCCGCUGUCCCCAAUACGCCUCUCAGCGGGGAAGCGCGCAGGCGCGCGACGCUGCCUUUGCUUUCUCCCACACGCAGCCACUGGAGGCCCUUCCGCGCGCCUUUCCGUGCCACGCAUGCGCAGCCGAGGCUGAGGCGGCCCAGUCUCAACGCUUCAGUGAGGUAAAAAAAAAGGAAAAAAUAUGGCAAUGGAGGAGCAAGAAGGAGGAAGAUUGGGUAGGAGGUUUCAUUCCCUCCGUAAAUAAGGGAUGGGAAAUGCCUCUCCCCGCCCUCGUCUAAGGGUCACAAAGCGCGCCUCAGGGCAAAGAAGAAGUCUCAGAGGCUCUGCCAUUGUUCCUCCACAAGAACGGGGCAUGCAUCUUAGAUGUGUCUAAGAUUCUUUGGCAAUAGAGAGAAAGGUCUUGCCAGAAAAUGCUCACAUGGAAGGUGUUCUACACAGGCAGACGAUACAGACAACAGUGGAAACUCUAUAUUAAGGCAAAACCAGGACCAAUCUGUGGGAGAGAUUGAGGACCAGUCUGUGGCUCUACAAAACAAUAAAACCUGUUAAGGAAUCAAAGCAGUGGAAGGUGGCCAUUGGGGAGGCAGAGAAACUCACUUCAAACACUGGAUAUAGAGGUAGAUCUUCAUCAAGCCGCACAAGACGGAGACAGCACAGGCUCCCACCAGCCCUGCAGGGAAGCCAAGAUCAGAACAGAGGAAUGUCUGCUCACCAGGUCCAGGUCAAACCGAAUAAACUCCAGGCCAGAGACCAGGAUGGUGUUUUGAAACAGUCUGCCAAGCAAAGCAUUUAAUGGGAACACUUGUAAAUAUCUGCAGAUAUGACAAUUCAGCAGCACAUACUGAAGAACAAAAAAGAAAGCACUAAAACUGCCAAUGCAGAGAGUUCAGUAUGCAAUACCACAUGGAAAAAAGCCAUGUGCCGCUGAAGGUUUCCAAGCAGCGCAGAACCAUAACACAGCAUACCAGUACAAAACCAUAUGUCCUUCUUUGAAUGUGUUGGGACAAAGCAGAGGGAGGCAGAAGGAAGGGUAUCUGGUAUGAACACAAGAUGCUCUUCCCCUUGAUCCCCUAGUCUGAACAGGGGCAGCUGCAACCUUCGCCCCAUAUCUAGGGUGGCCUACAGACACAUCCUCUCCAGGAGGAAAAGCAGGCAGCUGUAUGGGGGUCCUUUAACAUCUGUAGCCCCUAGAGAGCAAUAUCCUUGAGCCUGGCGCUCCCCAAGCCUAUUUAUAUAUAUUUUAUUCAUUUAUUUCUUUUUGUCUCAUUUAUUAAGUCACCUUUCUCCCUCUAAGAGGACUCAAGUUUGCUUGUGGCCAAAGAUCAGAACACAGCGAGGUCUAGAAAGGCUGCUCAUCCAUACAGCAGGUGAAGGUGGCUGCAGAGGCUGCUUCCAGAGAGGAAGGCCUGUUUGGCCAAACCCGCACGUACCCUGCCAAGACACCGGAGGGGACAAUCCAGCAGAAAAUCCUGCCACACAUGGAUCACUUGCCUGAGGGAGAGGUUGAGAGCCCCCACCCCCGGCAUCAAAGCUCCUGGAAAUCAGUUCUCUCAUUGAUGUGAAACUCCUCAAGGGUAACAAGAGGAAAAUGUCUUUGCAAGCUUCAGUCACGCUGCCACCCAAAGAAACACCGAUGAUCUCAGAGGAACUGGAAAACGGUUCUUCUCCAUUUCAUUGCACUCUCUGGCUUCCCUUUUUUCCUGGUGCCCAUCAGGCUCUGCUUUGUGGCCAGAACUAUGGCUUUUAGCAGUGUUUACUGCCACAAACAGAUGAAGCCUUCCCACUGGUGCCCUGUGCUUUUGCCAGGCGCGGCUCACUUCUCUGCCUGCCAGUGACAGUCUCUCUCCCCCCCCCCCAAUAGCACCACCACCACCCUGUCCAAUGGAAAAUUUCUAGGCUUUAAGUUCAGGCAGGUUCUCCGAUCUUGAAAGUUGCUCACUGUCUUUCUGCUCAAGAUGCAGGCAGCCUUCAUCCAUUCACCAGAUGAUUGCCACCAAGCAUAACUUCUGAUACAAGCUGGGCCAUGUGUACAAUCCCUGGAAGCUGUUUUAGAAGUUAACAAAAAGCUGGUCAGUGAAGAUGGCUUAAAAGAGCUAGUUAGAAGGACAGUCACAGAAGUGAAGCUCAGCAAUCUUGAGCGCAGCUGAUGAGAUGGGAGUCAAAGCCUUUCUUGUUUAUCAUCCUUUAUUUCACUCCCCCCCCCCCCCGGCACUCCUUCAUUCCCAUGCAUCUCCUGCCCAUACAGCAGAGGGGAAGGGAGCAGAUUCUGAAUCAAGGAAACUGAAGAAGCAACCCAAAUGUCACUAAGAGUCACUUCCAGCUACAGACUUGGGGCAAAUCAUUUGGAGCAGAGAAGAUGGUCUCUCCUGGAGGAACUCGCAGGACUGUCUUUUUUAAGCCUCAGGCCCUUCUGGAGGAAUCUUCCUUGGAGAUGGAUCUGGAGCUGCCCAGCAUGGUGGAAGAAAGGAAGAAAACCCUGCUUCUGCUGGUGCUGAAUACCAUAGUGCACCCUUCUACCUUGAGCACGGUUCUCCUUGACCACUGGAAUAGUUUCUUUUAGUAAGUCACCUUGAGAGAACAGUUGAAGACAUUUAGAAUAAAGAAAAAUUUGUUUAAAAUAGAUUUAUAACACCCUUCAGCAGCUGAAGUAUUCAUCCUCCAUAACACCACGCCUGGGAUGGUGUUUGUGUACAAGUCGAGUUCCCAGAAUUCUUUAGGUGAACCUACCAGAGUGGAAGCACAUCUGUGAUCUUAUGGAUAACAGGACAAAAACAGCUCUCUGCAAACCACUUGGCGAGUCUUCCUCAUCCGCUGUUCCUGCCGAACGCAACCUGUGGCCACCCAUGAAGGACUACAAGGAUGGAGUGAUGUUUUCCUUGCAAGCUUGACCUUUUUCCAAGGGAAAUCCCUGGUUGUUUCUACAGUAAGAGCUGCAGAGCGAGUUCUCUUAACAGAAAGUCCUGGCCAUCAGAUCUCAGAGGUUUGAGACUCCCUUGUCAUCUGCGAGGUGGCCCAGUGGAGACAAGGCCAGCCUCAAAGGAAAAUGUACAAGAGAAUAGAAAACUUUAAGAGGAGAAACAGCACUUUCAGGCCAUCAGCUCUGCUGCAUAAAUGUGGGGUAUUUCACGUACAACAGGAUGCCAGAUGUCAGAAAAGAAUCUUGGACAAUCCAGCCACAACCCUCAUCUUUUGCUCCAUCUCCAAGACACUCCGACACAACUGUUUUCUGUACAGAAACAGUGUCCCACCAAGCUCCUGUGCUAACAUUAAAUACCCCAAAGGGAGGCCAGCAGAUUGUCGGCUUGACUGAGAAAGGCAGUCUUUCUGGGACAUUUGCCUCUUCUUCUGGGCUGGCUCGGCUUCCUUCCCUGCCUUCUUGCCCUCUAGACUUGCUGCUCUUCUGAAAAGAAACUCUCUCGGAUGCUUCAAGAACUCCAUCAUCUUCCUCUUGGCUAAGGAUCUGACUUUGGCUGGCUGGAUGUGUUCAGACAUGCAGGGCGUACUUAUGUUUCUCACUGAUAUCCCUAAUGGACUCGUCUCCAUAAUUUGCUGCGAAAGAUCAAGAUUGAGAAGGUGUUCACGAAGGGGGCGGGCGGGCUGUGUGUUAAUAUUGGCAAGUUACGGGAUUUAACUCCCUGCUCCUCUGGUUGUCAGUUUAAAUGCCCAGUCUCUCUUUUUCUGCUUUUCUCUCUCUCUUUUUUGCAGAACAAAUAAUUCAAAAGGAACAUGCAAGAUAAUUUUCUCCUUAUUUGCUGAAAACAUUGUACAAGGCAAUCCCAGAUCUUUAGAGAGCAGGCAAGAAGGGGGGAAAUCAUCAUAACAUGGCUUUUGGAAGAUGACAAAUGUAAAAAGUCAGAUUUGGGCCUUAACUCAUUAAACAGCCUAUUAAUGCUGCAGAAUGAAGCCCAUGUGCAGGAUUGCAAGAUAUAGGAUGAGAAAUAAACACAGUUCUUUAUGCUUACUGGAACUAAUUAAAAAACACCCUCCCUCCUAGUGAGCAGGUCAUGCUAGGUCAAGUAACCAAGCCUCCCUAGGGCAAUCAAACUCUUUGCUGCUGCUCUCCUAGACAGAAGCAAGGCGGAAAGUUUUGACUGGACUUGGGAACCCAGGAAGCUGCCUUCAACCAAGCUGGACACCUGGUCCAACUUCCUCAAUAGAGCCCACAUGGCCCAGCAGCAACAGCAAGUAACCGGACGUGGCUUCCCUUGAGGCCCAAAACAAGAAAAGACUUGGAUGCCUUUGAGGUUGCACAGUGGCGCUGAGAGUUUCACUCCACCAAGUGGAACACAGUCCUAGGAUUUCAGAUCAUUGCCCUAGCAACCAGAUGGGCAUUGAUGCCAAGACUGGGCCAACGCUGGGCCCUCUUGCUGCCUAAGCUGCACCCUCGGGCUUUUCAGUGAACCCCCUCUUUGUUGAUCCAGAAUGUUAGGUGUCGAAGUACUGUGGAUGAAAACUGCAGCUGCUCCCAAAAACCUAUGACAGCUGCUAGAAAAUUGAGGUGGGGUAUGCCCACACACUGUGGACACUGGCACAGGAUAGCACCUAAAGGUCCCCCAGCCAUGUGGCCACAACAUCCUGAGGUUAUCUUAUUGGUUGGACCUGCUUCUAUUCUGCAGAG